UACAUGGGGUGCAAACGUUGCUCGGAAUCAUUGGGCGUAAAGCGCGCGUAGGCGGUUACUUAAGUUGGAUGUGAAAGCCCUCGGCUUAACUGAGGAAGUGCAUCCAAAACUGAGUAGCUAGAGUACGAAAAGAGGGUCGCGGAAUUCCCGGUGUAGAGGUGAAAUUCGUAGAGAUGUGGAGGAACACCAGUGGCGAAGGCGCUUUCUGGUCUGUAACUGACGCUGAGGCGGCGAAAAGCGUGGGGGAGCAAACAGGG
rnacentral:rRNA from 1 species